CAAAAUCUCAGCAGAUUGAGAAAAUGUUCCAAAGAAUGGCAGUUUUAUAGCUGAUUUUAUACAUUACAAUCAAAGCAGGAGGCCUAAGGAGGGUUACAUGGAAUCCAUUAGUGACAGGUUAGGGAGGAGG